CUUCAGCGAGCCCAGCCACAGCGGCCGCUCACGGUCCUGCCCAUAAGUGGCCAGCACAGCCUGCGCCUC
rfam:Streptomyces autolyticus strain CGMCC0516, complete genome.